UUCUGCCUACGGGGCGCAGCAGUGAGGAAUAUUGGUCAAUGGGCGAGAGCCUGAACCAGCCAAGUCGCGUGAGGGAGUACUGCCCUAUGGGUUGUAAACCUCUUUUGUCGGGGAGCAAAAGCCGGACGUGUCCGGCUGUGAGAGUACCCGAAGAAAAAGCAUCGGCUAACUCCGUGCCAGCAGCCGCGGUAAUACGGAGGAUCCGAGCGUUAUCCGGACUUAUUGGGUUUAAAGGGAGCGUAGAUGGGUUGUUAAGUCAGUUGUGAAAGUUUGCGGCUCAACCGUAAAAUUGCAAUUGAUACUGG
rnacentral:rRNA from 1 species